rnacentral:misc_RNA from 1 species
AACGUAGGACGCAAGCGUUAUCCGGAGUUACUGGGCGUAAAGCGCGGGCAGGCGGUCUGUCAAGUGGGAUGUGAAAGCGCCCGGCUAAACCGGGCGAGGCCAUUCCAGACUGAUGGACUGGAGGGCAGUAGAGGUAGGCGGAAUUCCGGGUGGAGUGGUGAAAUGCGUAGAGAUCCGGAGGAACACCAGAGGCGAAGGCGGCCUACUGGGCUGCACCUGACGCUGAGCCGCGAAAGCCAGGGGAGCGAACGGG